UACAUAGGGAGCAAGCGUUAUCCGGAAUGAUUGGGCGUAAAGCGUCUGUAGGUGGUUCAAAAAGUCUACUGUCAAAUACGUUGGCUCAACCAACGGCAGGCGUUAGAGUACUAUUGAACUAGAGUGUGGUAGAGGUAGAGGGAAUCCCUAGCGUAACAGUGAAAUGUGUAGAUUUUAGGGAGAACACCAGCGGCGAAGGCGCUCUACUGGGCCAUUACUGACACUGAGAGACGAAAGCUAAGGGAGCGAAAGGG
rnacentral:rRNA from 1 species